rnacentral:rRNA from 1 species
UACGGGGGGGCAAGCGUUGUUCGGAAUUACUGGGCGUAAAGGGCUUGUAGGCGGCCAACUAAGUCAGACGUGAAAUCCCUCGGCUUAACCUGGGAACUGCGUCUGAUACUGGACGGCUUGAGUAUGGGAGAGGGAGUGUAGAAUUCCAGGUGUAGCGGUGAAAUGCGUAGAUAUCUGGAGGAAUACCGGUGGCGAAGGCGGCAUCCUGGACCAUUACUGAACGCUGAG